rnacentral:rRNA from 1 species
GAUGAACGCUGGCGGCGUGCCUAAUACAUGCAAGUCGAGCGAACAGACGAGGAGCUUGCUCCUCUGACGUUAGCGGCGGACGGGUGAGUAACACGUGGAUAACCUACCUAUAAGACUGGGAUAACUUCGGGAAACCGGAGCUAAUACCGGAUAAUAUAUUGAACCGCAUGGUUCAAUAGUGAAAGACGGUUUUGCUGUCACUUAUAGAUGGAUCCGCGCCGCAUUAGCUAGUUGGUAAGGUAACGGCUUACCAAGGCAACGAUGCGUAGCCGACCUGAGAGGGGGAUCGGCCACACUGGAACUGAGCCACGGCCCAGACUCCUACGGGAGGCAGCAGUAGGGAAUCUUCCGCAAUGGGCGAAAGCCUGACGGAGCAACGCCGCGUGAGUGAUGAAGGUCUUCGGAUCGUAAAACUCUGUUAUUAGGGAAGAACAAAUGUGUAAGUAACUAUGCACGUCUUGACGGUACCUAAUCAGAAAGCCACGGCUAACUACGUG